GACGAACGCUGGCGGCGUGCUUAACACAUGCAAGUCGAACGAACAGACCCUGCUUUUGUUGGGUGCACGAUUGGCGCACACGUGAGUGACACAUGUGUAACCUGCCCUUGACUUUGUGGUAACUUUACGAGAAACCGGAUAUUACAGGGUAUGAGCUACUGCUGCAUAGUGUGCGUUGGAAAAUUUCGGCGGUUGGGGCUGGACUAGCUGCUUAUCCGUUGGAUUGGCGGGUAGUUGAGUUACAGGGCUUUGACGGGUAGCCGGCCUGGGAGGGGGACCGGCGACAUUGGGACUGAGGUACGGCCCAGACUCGUACGGGAGGCAGCAGUGGGGAAUAUGGCACAAUGGGCGGAAGCCUGAGGCAGCAACGCCGCGUGCGGGAUGACGGCCUUCGGGGUGUAAACCGCUUUCGCCUGUGACGAAGCGUGAGUGACGGUAAUGGGUAAAGAAGCACCGGCUAACUACGUG
rnacentral:rRNA from 1 species